rnacentral:misc_RNA from 1 species
GGGAUAGGAUCGACGAGGUAUAAAUUUGUUAUUUCUCGUUCCUCUGCAUUGUCUUAGCUUGUUUUAGUGGAAAUAUCAUAUGAUAAUUUUAGGAAACUUCGUAUGUGUGGAUUUUAUUAACUGAAUUUUCACUUUGACAUUCAAUUUUCUGGGUUUGUGCAUUGAGCGCUGUGCUAUGCCUUGUUUAGUUGGAUCUAUUUGUUAUCAUGUUUUAGGGUAUUUUGAGUUUUUAAAAUCUGGUUAGAGAAGAAAAGUGGGCAAUGGAUGAUCAAUCAAUGCUGCAGCAAACUUUAGUUAAUAAUAUCGCAGGUAUAAUGCAAAGUAAGUAAAGGUUAGGCUUUUUGGCAUUUCUUGCACUAGCGGGAACUUUCUAUUAGGUGCAAAGGUGUAUCGCGUUUACCAAUCCCAAUCCCUUUGUACAAGACUGAUUGGAUCUUGCUUAGCAUGAUAUCAAUAGGCAAGAAAUUUUAUACCACUUGUAAAAUGCUCAAGGAAUUUGACUGUUUAUUGAUUUGUCUUUCUUAAUUCCUAAAAUUCUAUGAUAAGUGCUGGAAACUUGCAUCUUAGGAUGAAGUUUUAGAACAGAAAGCAUAUCUAGAUUGGUGUCUAAAGUUU